CGAUACCUGGACAGUCACCCAAAGUUCCUCUGUAACCUUGGGGCAUCCAUCUUCAGCCUAUAGGCCACAGUGUGUCUGGCACACUUCUCCAUUUCAACAGGAACCCUUUAGUACUCUCUUGUUUUGUAAGUUCAACAGUCACUUUCUUGUGGGUCUUGCAUGUCCAGUUUAUACAGCAACAAACAGUCUAGGCAAGAACCGUUUCUUGCCCAAAUGGCUAAUCUUGCCAUGUUGAAAGCAAACUCCAUAACAAGUUUCUUCAAUGCCCAUCCUCCUUUCUGAUGUAAUUGGUGAGCCAGGAGCAGUUGUGUCUCACUGCCAAGAAAAACCCUAAACCAUUUAAAUGCCACAUUUCUGUAGGUCUUUGAAAAGUUUGAAGAAUACUUAUUCAUCUCAAAUACAUCUCCAUAUAUCUAGAAAACCUAACUAACCUAAUUAUAAGUUACGAUUAUUAUAGGUGACUAUAUAACCUGAAUUUAAUUAUGUAUAUCAUUUUAAAAGAUCUGCAUAAACACAAUACCUAAACCAGAGGAGACAUAUACAUAUCACAAAAUUGACCUUAAAGUUGUAUCAAUAAAUAAAAAUCCAUACCAAUGUAAAGUAUUCAUUUCUAUAUCCUAUUUUCCUAUUCCUUUUUUUCUUUUAAAAAGAGAGUGACUAUGCUUAUUACUAUUUAUAACCAACCCCAUUUAAAUGAAAACAAUUAUUAUGAAUAAUAUUUGGGAAUUUGGGCAUAGUUCAUUCCAAACAGCCUCCUGCUGAUUGGGGGCAAUGUCCAUACCAUGGGAAUCAUGAUAAAACAUAGAAAUCUGACCAAGUCCUUGUUUUUGUAUUCUGUAAGGCUGUAUCGUCUCAGCUUCAGGGAGUCUUGCUUGAUGAAACCAUAUUAGUGUGGAAGGAAUCCACAGCUUUUGAUUUUUCUGUGAAAACACAAGCAAAAACUUUUUUCCAAGUAGCCUGUCCUUAGACUUAAAUUUUGAAGUCAAAGCAUUUUUAAAAUGUGUAAGUUGGAUUAAUUUAGCAGCAUUAAUAAUCAAAUGUAUUUUAGCAGCAGUAAGUCUUUCUUUGGCAAUCAAACAAUUUAAAGACAAUAUAGCAUAUAGUAUCCAGACUCUGUGUAUUUUUCAUCUUUAGGUGGCUUUUCUAUUAUUUUAUUUUUAUUUUUUUUUUGAGACAGGGUUUCUCUGUGUAGCUUUGGAGCCUAUCCUGGCACUCACUGUGGAGACCAGGCUGGCCUUGAACUCAUAGAUAUCCACCUGCCUCUGUCUCCCCAGUGCUGGGAUUAAAGGCGUGCACCACCAACAUGGAUAGAUCAGGCUGUGGCAGCAGGUUUCUCUCUUCCUCUGGAAUCCUUGGGGCAUGGGGUCAUCCCACUCACUGACACCAUUCUUAGGCAAUGAAGGAAACCAUGGAAAACAAAAAACAAGUGAAGCUAUAAUUGAAUGGGUGUGGGGGCUCUGUUCAGCCCCAGCAAGCAGCAGAAACUAGCAGUUUCAGCCACAUGGCUCUGGCUUUAGAGUCAAGGAUAGAAGAAAAGUGGUAUAGAAACUACCUCCACGACUAUGGAAAUCCCGUUUUGCAAGGCAUGUUUUAGAGGCUCCCUGAAUGGAGGCCUAGAAAUGACAUUGUGUGAAUCUGUGAAGUUGAAGCCUUAUUGCCUUGGAGAUCCAAAAAAUGUUGAAGAUGAUAGAGCCAUGGGACACCUGCUGAAGAAAUCUGCUAACAGGAAGUGGAAACUUCCCAAAAGAAAGAAGUGUGCUAUAUAAAUACACACUUAUAUAAUUUAUAUAUAAAUUAUAUAAAUAUUGUGUCAAUAAAGCUGAAAGGAUAUCUAAAGAGUGCUUUGACAUCAGACAUGGAGAUCAAGAAUUUGGAAUUUUCCCAGAUGCAUUUUGGUCUUGCUUUGGUCCAGUAUUUUGUUGCUAUGCUUCCUUCCCUAUGUUUUGUAAUGGUAAUAUAUAUCCUGGGGCAUUAUAUGUUGGAAGUAUGUGAUCUGCUUUUUGCUUCUAAUUUUAUAGGGGAUUAUGGUUAAGAGAUUACAUUAAUUUCAAAAGACACUUUGAAUUUGGAUAUUUAAAUAAGUUUGAGAGUUAUAGGCUACUGGGACUUUUGAAGUUGGAAUGAAUGCACUUUUUCAUUAUGGUAUGGUUACAAACAUUUGGGGGCCAAGGACUGGAAUGCAGUGGUUUGAAAGAAAAUUCUUCCCAAAGGGAGUAGCACUAUUGGGAGGUAUUACCUUGUUGCAGGAAGUAUGUCCCUGUGGAGGUGGGCUUUGAGAUCUCAUAUAUGCUAGAGCCAUGCCCAGUAUCUCAGACCACUUCCUGUUGCUUGUAAGUCAAAAUGUAAGAACUCUCUUCUACCUCUCCCGCACCCUGUCUGCCUGCAUGCUGCCAUGUCCAACUAUGACAAUAAUAGAUUAACCUCUGAAUUGUAAGUGAGCUACCACAAUUAAAUGUUUUUCCCUUAUAAGAGUUACCAUGGUCAUGGUGUAUCUUUACAGCAAUAGAAAUCCUAACUAAGACAGUAUGUGUGUGUAUGUGGUAUUUGUUCUAAGAUUGAUAAUAAUUACAAUAUUGACAGACAUACACAAAAUAGCCAUAUUUUGUUGGCUGUAAGGUAAACAUUUUGCAUGGAUUAAGUCUUUUUUGUCAGUAAUGGUGAUAUAUGAUUUAUGAUUUAUUAAAGCUUGCCAGAGGAUUCAGAAGGCAAAGUCAGCCAGAAUCCAUAAAAGCCAGGCACACACCUUUAAUCCCAGAAGCCAGGAGCUAGGAGGUGGUGGUACACACCAUUAAUCAUAGGACUCAGUAUCAAGAGGCAGAUGGAUCUCUCUGAGUUCAAGGCCACCCAGGAAUACAUGAGAUUGAAUAAGUCUGAAAGAAUAACAACUCACAUACCUUUAAUCCCAGCACUAGAGAGGUAUUAAAGAUACAAGCAGGGUCUUCAGUAUUCAGUAUGAGGCAUUCAUUCUUCAGCCAUACUGAAGCAGAAGGAUUCAUUCUCCAUCCACAUUGACGAUUUUUCAGCCACAUUGAGGAGAGGCAGCAGGAUCAGCCCAGUCAGCCUGAGGUAAUGGUAAGAACUAGUGGUCUGCUACUUUGCUGUUCUGAACUUCAGCUUGCAGUUUGAGUCCCAAUACCCGUCUCUUGAGUAAUUUAUUUUUUGUGUUACAGUGAGUCAUACUCUGUGUCAGAGAUUAUUAUUAUAUCUGGCUUGUAAAUGAGAAAAUUAAAAUGCUCAAGGGUUAACUGACUUUCUGAAGUAUCAAAUAGCAAGGAAGUUGUAGAGCUUGAAUUAAAAUACAUGCUCUUUGGUUUGAAUUUGAAUCAUACUACACUACUUUAAGUGACUUAAGUAUGUUGGAUACAUGUGCAUUCACACAUAUAUAAUAUUUACAUGCUGCCUGAUGCAUUUUCUUUAUUUUUCUAUCAUUACUUAGUACCUAGAAAGAGUGUUUGCCUUGCAGGAGAUAUUUAUGUCACUGAAGAUCUAAUAGCCUGACCUCACACUGCAUCUUCUUCCCAUAUUCUAAGAGCAUAACCAUACACAGAAAACUGUCAAUGAGCAUUUAUUAUUUUGCUUCAAUUUGAUAGCAAUAUACUGUGAUUUUAUUGGUAAAUUGGAUUUCAUAAAAUCCCUUCAAUCUGAGAAUAUUCUUGGAUCUAAAAUUUAAGUUGUCUUAUUUAGUGGUGAAGGAAGAGUUCCCACAGAGAAGCUAUUUAUGUGUGUGGUAGUUGUUUACUUCUGGAUUGAAAUGAAGAGUCUAUUAUACAACCCAACUGUUCAAUUCCUAUAACUACUUUGCAUUUAGAUACAUUCUGUUCAGAGUCCACUGUACAUGAUUUAAGCUAUUUAGGUUUAGAUAUAGCUUUGGCUGAAUCUCGGAAAAAAAAGACAGAUACAGAUACUUUUUUUAAAAGGAGGAUAAUUUGAACUUCUGGUGUUUUAUAGGGAUAAAAGUUGUUGUAUUCUUUCUCCAAAGAUAGAACACUCAAAGAUAUGUGUGUGGGGUAUAUAAGUGUGUGUGUGUGUGUGUGUGUGUGUGUGUGUGUGUGUGUGUGUGUGUGUGUACUAUUAAUGCACAAAUGGAUGUGAAAUUUGGGUAGGGGUUUUGAAGGAAAUACAUAGGUAUGUACUCAUACACACACACACACACACACACACACACACACACACACACACACACACACACACCAUUUUUCAGGUAUUAAUAAAGGGUAUAUCUUUGGAAUAAGGAAUAAUAACAAAGGGGAAUAAAUUCUUUUCCAUUUUUUUCUGCCUUUUAUUUUUUAAACUAAUAGUCUUCUUACAUUCUAAGUCUUGCUGACAAACAGACACUGUUUUUGAAAACCAAAGAACAGUAGGGUUCUUAGCUGUUUACUUUGGCAAGAGACUCAUUUGGUUUUAUAGUUAUCAAUGACUGAUGGUUUACAUUCUCUUCAAAACAGUCACAAGUCACAAAAGUCUUUCAAAACAUAUUCCUGUGGGCUUUAAUAUGCAGUAGUUUUCCCAUCAUUAAUAUCUUCCUAUAAUUCUAAAUAGAUUACAUUUCACACACUGUUCCCUACCUUCUGUACUUGAAACGAAGAGAUUUCCUCAUGAAUAGGGUAGAAGUAUCUAUGCCUAUCCUUACAAAACAUCAAUAGAAACAUUAAAGCCAGUGACUUUUCAGGGUAAAGUGUGCACAGCCACAGUGUGAUUUUUAUGUCAGAUUUUGAAGGCAUAUUUGUGUAAAUGUGCUUCAUGUAUGCUUUUCUUCAUGUUUUUUUAUGAUUGAUAUAAGACAAACAUGUAUCUCAGUGACUCUCUUGAUAUUCCAAUAAAAUGGAAUGAAAAGGAAUAGUAGAAAUAUCUAUAUUCCAUAAUCAUUUUAUUGUUGCACAGUAACAUCCAUAGUAUUGGACUACAGGUAUAUUUGCAUUUAGCUUCUGCAUUGCACCCCAGUAUCUCAGCUCUCUGUUAAGCUUUUCUCAUUCCUUUUCUCAUACAUUGGUAUUAUUUCCUCUAUGUUCCUCUUGCUUCUCUUUCCUUUUCAUACUUAAUUAAUUUUUGUGAAAUAAAUGUGGACUCAUCCUACUACACACACCCUAAUAUAAUACUAUUUGCAUUAAUAUGUUAACUAUGCUAUUAGCUCUGGCUGUUGGGGGAAAUUGUUAAAAGUCUUUUUUAAUUUUCCCAAAUUCUUGGGAUUUUGGAAAGAUAAAUGUAUCAUUUACUUCCCCAAUUUGUUCAUUGAUACCUGAUGAAAAAUAUGACCCUUUCCUGAUUAGCUUGGCAUUGCUCUGACAGAGUUGGGUGGGGUGGUCUUCACAGAAACUUAGCAGCCAUAGAAGAAGAACAUGUGGAGUAAGGAAGGUCCCCAAUUUUACUCUCAGAAUUUUGGACUGCUUUUAUUCUAAACAUCUCAGUUUCACCUUCCUGGCCUUUCUUGGCAUUUAGGAAGAAAGCUACUUUAACACUUGGGAAGUUAGUAGCAUUAUACAUUAUAGUACUUUUAAUACAUCAAAGCCAUUUGCCUAGUUUCCUUUCCCACUUCUGAAGUUUUCUUCUUCCUCUCAGUGAAAUUUGCAUCUCCAUCUUUCUUAAUUGUUUAGGCCUCCAAAUCCUUAAAUCACAGUAUUUCUGAAAACAUAAAAGUUAUGGUUUGACUUUUUCCGUUGCCUGUUUAUCCAUUGGAUUAGUGAUUUUCAUUAACCUCAGGAAUUUAUGGAGGCAAAGCUCCUGACUCAGAAUAGAUUUUUAUCAUGAAAUCAAAUUAUCAGAUGGAACAUUAAUUAGGAUUUGUACUGGUGAUCAAAGGAACAGCCAGGGGAUUAUGUAUGGGGGAAACAUAAUCCACCUCAUGCCAAUGGAUGGAUUUUCUCCCUGAUAUUUCUAUAUGGACUAAAAUAGAAUUUUCUGUGUGGCCCACUAAUAAAGUAGAAAUAUGUAUUCUAUGUUUUCAAGCAACUCUAGAAUUCACUAUGUAAAACUCCACUUAAUGGAACAAGAGAUAUUUCCCAAUAAAAUCAAUAGUGUAAGAUCUGAAAAUUUGCUUAAUUCUGCCUGACACCACCCUCUCUUCUUUUUCUCCAGUCCCUGGAAUUAUUUAUUACCUGUAAAGCUUUUGAAAGAUGAAAUUAGGUCAAAGAAGAAUGCUGUAAGAGAACAUAGAGCUCAACACAGAAUCAACAUAGACUGUCUCCCAGUAGCCACAGAGCAAGUUCUGUGAUUAUUGUUUUAACGAUAAGCACAAAGACAUAAAUGUCCAAUGCAGAGAACACACCUAUAUUUUCUUUCUAAAAUCAGCUGUACCUGUCUGCCACCACACUGGACAGCUGCCGAUGCUGCAGAAAAAGUUUAUGCUGCAGAUCGUGUCUCUAAGUUCCUGGACCAGUAGACCAUGCCUUUCAUCAGACUCACUAUCACCCUGCAGAAAGUGUGUUUGGAAUUGGCCCAUGAUCCUGAAGCAAGUAUGAUUCCACCCAGGACUCAUUUCAUUUACUCAACUAAUAUUGGUUGAUCAUAAUUAUGUGCCAACUGCCUUAAGUAGUGUCAGGGAAUCAACAAUGAAAAGCAUUCCACUUCUUCUCCUAAUGAGUUUAAUGUUAAUUGUGUAGUGAGAAGUUUAGCAAUUUCAAUAAACAAUGGUAAGUAUUACAUUAAAUGUAAAUAUGGCAAAGUGUACAGUGAGAACAUAAGAAUAAUUAAAUCCAAAAACAAGGGGAGUGGAGAUAUUCAGGAACUCCAAAAUAUGUCAACAAAGCACAAAAGCAUGGGAUGUAAACUGUGGAAUGACACAGGUUGACCAAGACCAAGUUAGGAAGGAGCUUGUAUUUCACACUAAAUUCAAUUAACUUUCAGAGCUGCAGAGAUGGCUCAGUAAUUAAAACCACAUACUGACCGGGCAGUGGUGGAGCAUGCCUUUAAUCCCAGAACUUGGGAGGCAGAGGCAGGCGGACUUCUGUGAGUUCAAGACCAGCCUGGUCUACAAGAACUAGUUCCAGGACAGCAUCCAAAGCCACAGAGAAACCCGGUCUCGAAAACCAAACAAACAAACAAACAAACAAAAAGAACACAUAUUCUGCUUCUAGAAGAUCCAAAUUCAGUUCUAAACACCCAGACAAGAUGGCUCAUAACCACCUGUAAACCCAGCUUCACAAGAUCUUAUAAUUUCUUCUGGUAUCCACAGGCACCCACCCACGUGCAACAUAUAAUUAUACAGAUACACAUAAAUUAUUAUGAGAAAACAUGAUUUCAUACUUCAUCUUUAGGACAAUGGGAGAAAGUUGAAGGUUUUAAUCGAAAGAAUGAUAUAACCAAAUGGACCUAUUAGAAAGAUCUUUUUUGUUUGUGUUCAUUGUGGAUCACCUGGUAGAGAUGAGCUAGGUUAAAGAUAAUCAUCUAGUUUAGAGUAAUUUAAAAACUUGAGCUCUGAAAAUAAUAGUGGGAGCUAGUCAGCUUAAAUAAGUUUAAAGACACAGAGUCCUAAGAUAGGGAAUGGUUAAAUAAAUGUAAAAUUAAGUUAAUGAGAUUUAGACAUAUCAUUAAAAUUUAUUGUAUGGGCCAGUGGGUAAAUGAUGACAUAUUUGUUAAAAUCUAUAUUAUAUGAAAGUCAAAUUUUCUGGGAGAUGAUAUUUAAUAAGACCAAUAUUGUGACUAUUUACUGGGAACAUGCCCAGAGAACACUCAUAUGAAGCACCAGCAGGCAGUAAUUAAAAGGGUAUGGAAUAUGGGGAGGGCAGUUUGAGGGUUACUGCUACUUGGGGGACAUCAGCAUAUUAAUAGCAAGUGGACUGGUCCUUUUCUGGUAGAUAAUGGAAAUAGGAGAAAUCUUAAUGAAUGUGCAGAAGAGUCCAUUUCAGAAAAAUGAACUGCAUCUUCAUCUGCUUCCUGUCAGUGUGAUUUAUAUUUUGUUCUAAUUUCUGCUUCCUUGUCCAGCUCCUGUUAAGCUAAAUGUCCAUCUCUAAAUUCUAAAGUCACUUGGUUAGGUCCCUAAAUACUUUACCUGUCAAGGUCACUAAAUGCUAUACUUUUUCCACCAGCAACUGAAUAGAUUUCUCAGAAUCACUUAGCAUCCAGUCGUUUCUAGGUGUCAGGUUAAACUCAUAGGCUACACAUUCCACUCUGGAUAAGACUCAGGGUUGCCGUACUGGUUUGGUCUUCUGAGCAUCUGCUUUUGAUAUUAAUCACAUUUGAACUCAAUAAAUAUUAGUUAAAAUUAACUGUACCACUUACCAUUGAUACAACCUUUGACUAGUUACAUUUUUAAAUGCCCCUUGUCUUCAUUUAAGAUGGAUUAAUCAUUUCUACUUACACUGCUAUUUUGAGGAUUCUGUGAGUACAUGGAAGAAGUUCCUGCAUCAUCCUUGUGAAUUAAUAUAUCCUACUUAUUUCUAAAUUUUAUCUAGCUUCAUUGUAAAAAGGUGAGAAUGGCAUGAUGCUGUCGAAAUAACUUCAUGUAGUAAAUGGCUAAGUGUUGAGAGUUAUUUCUACACUGUAGCUAUCAUCAGGAUAUUAUUAUACUUGAUUUGUCUGUGUUUUUAGAUGGAAGGCUAUGGGAUAUGUAUUAUGGGUUUGUCAGGAGCAGAAUGUCAAAUAGACCAGUAUGAGAGCCUUAAUACUGAAAUAUUUUAAGCACUGGAUCCCAGAGAAUAAAUUUUGUCUUGGAAAUCCUUUAGAAUGGGGCAACUAGCUAUUUUAAAGGUAUCAUCUAGAAUUAAAAUCACAUAUCACACAUCCUAGAUUCACCUAAAAACUUGGCUUAGGAUCCUGACUGUUUCAGUUUGAAUAUUUGGGAGCUGAUUGAUUAUAAACAAGUCAGUUGCUAUGAGGAUCAUCUAGUAAUCUAUUAAAUAAAUGUAACAUGACUUUUCUUCUAUAAUGUAGUGAGGAUCUACAAGAAAAUUAAUCUAAACAUUUCACAUUUAUUUAUUCAGUACCACUUAAGGUGUAUCAUCAGCUGGUCUCAACACAUGUACAUAAAUUCAUUUAGUCCCACAUUCUAUGGGUUUGAGCACUGCUUUACAUGUGAGGAAACAAAGGAACAGAGCAUCAAUAACUCAUCCAAAGCCAUAUACAUACUAACUGUAAGUCUGUGCUGCACCAGAUCUCUAGUCUUUGUUCUCAAUCAUCACACAAUCCCACCACUCUGAGCACAGUACCCAAGCUUACUAGCAUAGUGACUGUCAAGUGAUAGUGGGCAUUUUACUUUGGGUACAGAUCAACUUGAUUUACUCCUUUUUUGAUAUAAUAGCCCAUGAAAUUUUUAUAAAUAACAGGUUGCUUAAUUCAAGAAAAGUAAGAUGGGAGAGUAAAAUAUAUAAAAAGAAAGGGAGGAAUUCACCAGCUAUUAGUUUAAAGAGAUCCCUCAUCAAUAGAGGGACAGAUCAUUACUACAUGUGAUGUAUCUCAGUCUUCCAGUGGCUAGGAGCAGCUAUUUCAAAAUGCAAUUAACUUAAAAUAAACUUGUUAUUUCAUAAAUAUGUCUCAGUAUAACUUGUAUAACAAAACUCGAUGCGAAAUCUUCCUUUUUACAUGCUGAGUUUGAUAACAUUUAUUUAAAACCAUUUGAUGUCAGGUUUGAGAAGUGACAAACUGACCAGAUUUAACUUGUGUAUGAACAUCAUUUUCAGCUCAUGGACUCAAGCAUUUUAUUAGUCCAAGAUACAUUAUAAAUAAUGCACUGUGAGCUAAUUGACAAGUACCUAACCAUAUGACUUUUUAAAUAAAUUAGUCCUUCUGCUGCCUACACCACUCCACAUUUGUUCCCUUCCAGGGGUUUGUGUGCAAAGUGAAGACAAUAGUCUCUAAUCCUUAAAAUCAGGUCUAUUCCAGAAUGAUCAAUAAAUGGUAGUGAUUAUUACUUCAGAAACCACAGAAUUUGCUUAGGGAAUUUUAACCCAAAGGACUUCUUUUAUUGUCCAUAUUUAUCACUGAUCACUCGAUUCAAAAGCCAAUAACUAACUGUAUUUCACAUUAAGGUUCAACAGCUCCAGACAAAAGUCAAAAAAUGCUAUUAUAAUGCAGUGUAAAUUUGAGUAUUCUCUCAUUAUUUUUGCUGGCAUUGUUUACUGGAUUUGGUUUACUAUAUCUACAUACUUCCUCUCCCAGUGAGUAUCCAAUUGAAAAUGAUGGACCAAAGAAAUCAGAUCAGUGAGAGGUUCUAAUUGGUGUGUGUGUGUGUGUGUGUGUGUGUGUGUGUGUGUGUGUGUGUGUGUGUGUAUUUGAUCUUCUUAAGUAAAGUGAAAAUCCAGGCUGACUUGGAACUCACUAUGUGACCUAGGCUAACCUCAAACAUUACCUGUCCUUGUUCACCGGCAUCACAUGAGCUAAGAUUACAGACGUAUAGUGCUAUGCCUAGCUUCUAUGUCCUAUUUUUCUCAAUUCCACAGCUACAGAUAUGGUCUUAAUUGGCCAUCCCAGAACUUUCAGAUGGCCAUCAGCCUUUUUCUGAAUUUUCAGGCAAGUAAAAGGAAAUCUCCUUCUACUAUCUUGUCUUGAAAACAAAGUCACCCUUUGAGGGGCCCUAAAAAUUUGUUCACAGAACCGUAUUUAGAAUGUAUCUUGGGAAAAUAAAAUUCUUAAUUCCAUGCACUGGAAAUGAUCUUCACACGUAAAAUGAAAUCUGAUCACUUUAUAGCCCCACACAACCAGAACUCUCAAAUUAGGCACUUCCAAACUCAGUACAGCAAACACUGCCAGGCACUGGAGGCAUUGUGGAAUCAAAGCCUCUAAAUCUCCCUUUCCAUGACAUAUGAAAGAUUCAGAAGAGUGGAGGUCAAAGAAUAUGAGGCAGGGGAUGUAUAAAGGAAAAGUAAAAUAGAUUACUUUUUUUAGUAUGAAGGGAUUGAACCUAAUUACUCUUUUAUGCAGAAAAUCCCUUUGGCUGUACACAUGAAUAAGAGCACUCAAGGCAGCAACAUUUUUCUUAUAAUUAGAAGAAAUUAUGAUGUCUCUCUUGAAAGGCAGAAUUUUCCUUAUCAUGAAAAACAGUGUUCUUUAUCAUCCUUACUUUUUAUUAGAGGCUUCAAAAUGAGGUUUUCUUGAACCUCUUGAAAUAAAUCCAUUCCACUUUGAACUGCCGGAACGAACUAUUAAAAUGUGGACUGAUUCAUCCUGAGAAAUAGCCACAUGCUCACUUGCCUGGGAUAAUAAUGACUGCUAGGUAAAUUAUGAAGAACACUGAAUUCCUUUAUCCUACAACCUGAACAGUCCUGAAAUGGAAAACGUAUUGAUCUCUUCUUUUAAUAGGGUGAUGUAUCUCUUUUUCACAUUCAUUUACUUAUAUUUUUCAGCAAACAUUUAUUAAGAGAUUGGGAAAAAGCACUGGGCAAGGAGCUGAAUUUGCUGUGAAUGCUCAGAAAUACAGUAAACAAAAAACCACGGAGAGGACAUGAUAAAAAUCAAAGAUAUUAAAGGAAUUUUUGGAAGGAUUGUGGAGGGUUAAUAAUGCUUUUUAAUCCCAUGUAACUCUACACAGGGCACAGAUUGUACAACUGAGUUGUUAUUGGCAACUAAUGAAAACAGUGACACCAGGGACACAAAAUCAGAGUGCAGUAAUGGCUGUGCUUGCUGUUCCUCGUGGCAAUCUAGGAAAAGAGUGUCAUUUUAGGGAGCCUUCUGAGAGUGUGGCUUAGAAGUUGGCCACUCAGUGCUUAGGGCUCCUUCCCAGCUGCGUAGAGUUAUUGUACAUAACACUUUUGUCUCCUUCUCUCUCUUGUACUGUUUCUUGUAUUAUUUUUUCUGUAUUUCGUAAUUCCUGUCUACUUCAGUUUCUCAGAAACUUGAAACAUCUUGAAAAAACUUAUAAAGAGGAAUAAAUCAAAAAAAUUUCCAAUAGAUGUGCCUCACAUAAAGGACUGUCAAUCUCUAGUCUUCAAAUAUUUACAUUAAGUGGUACUCACUUGUAAUUACCAGGCUACCUCCUCCUAGAUAAUCAGUUCCGAAAAGAGAGAGGAUAUUUUCUAUAUAUUCCUAUACCUUUAACCAUAGUGGGCAUUUGUAAAUUACAUUUAUAAAGUAAUUUAUAAGAAAAAAUAUACAUAUUUUAUUGCAUUUUACAUAUUCUAUUCAAAUUAAGUUAAAUUAAACUUAAAUUGUAUACAGCCCCAGCCUGUUAUAAUACACUAUGCUACCCGACUCAGAGAAACAAAGAUGAAUAAAAUAGAGUUUCCAUCUUUAGACUAGUCAGAAGGAACAAAUACAAUAAAUGGAAUCUAAAUAUAAGAAGGGCAAAAGCUCAGGGCUUUGGAGCAUCACUGAACAUGGUUAGACCUGACUGUCCACAGGCCUGAGACUUAUGACAUGCGCCAUGCUUUGCUUCUUUUCCUGUGCAGUUAUGAAAUAGGAACAAAAAUAGUUUUUAGCUGGAGUCACCACAACAUGGAGAAAUGUGAUAAAGGUUGCAGCAUUUGGAAGGUUGAGAAUCACUGUAGUAGAUGAUAGGAUGGAAGACAACCACUGCCACCAAAACGCAGAUAGGAGAGUGAGGAAAGACUUGAGACUUGAAUUGUUAGUUUGGCCAUGGGAUUACAGUGUAAGGGUAGUUAAUAGAACUUCACUGAAGUGAGGAACUGAGAGGGCACCCUGCCAUUCAACUUCCAGAAUGAAACGAUUCUACAUAUAUGCGCUAUGAAAUUACAGAAACAGCUGUAGUUACUGAAGACCCAGAAGUGACUUUCAUAAAGAUGGACUUGGGUUCAAUUGCCACAUGUCUCUCAUAUCAUUCAAAAAGUGAGAAAUGAAAAACCAUGUGAAAUUAUUAAAUGCCAAGUGUUCAAUAAUAAUUCAUUGAUAGGCUUUUGAGCCUUAGAAAAGCCACAUAUUUUAGCUAUAUUAAAGAUCAGACAUAACCUCUGAUAUUUGCACAUUAGCCUACAAAAUGAUCUUUUAAUCUCCUAGCAACUGCAUCAGAAAGGAGCCUGAUAAGACUAAAUGUUAGUCAUUUUGAAAAAGUCUUGUAUUAUUCCUGUCUUUUUUGAAUAAAAAUGCUUAGAUGUGUUAUUUUAUUAUAUAAUUUAGGAAAAACAUCACACUUUAAGAAUGAAUGUUAUGUUGUCCCAGCUAUUAAUAACCCAUAACCUAUUUUUUAUCUCUACAUAUAGAAAAAAUGUGUAUCAAUCAGAAAAGUGAAAUCACAUCCUCCACAAGGCUGAGCAAGAAGAUGAGUGACCUAGGCUCCUGCUUUUAGAUUCAUAUUUUGCACUACAAGAAAGAAUAAACCAUAGACCUGGUUUUGUCUCCAAAGAUCCAUUAAUUCCUCCCUCUAAACACUAUUGCCAAGAUAAUUGAAGAUAGGUACCCACGAUUUUUAUAACCACAAGAUCCAACAAAGCAGCUUUUAGACAAAUUAUAUCCUUAUUCAAUGCUUUAUUUAAACAUUUAUUGAUCUUAUAGUAAGAAAAAAUGGCAUCAAUAUUUUUAAAUUAUAAUGUAAUUUUUGAGCUUCAUGGAAAAAACAAGUUCUUUAUAAAUAUCUGUAGAAAUACAUCAAUAUACACCCAAGAGAUAUACGUAGAGAGACAAAUGAUUUUUACAAGUCCUUUUUCUGUCAGUUAGAUGUCAUAAUUGAAUGUACAUAAACAUAUUUUGAUUAAAUCAUAAGACUGUGGCUUUAAAGGUUAGUUUUGCUUAUGUUUCUCUUACAGCAGUUCAGAGUCAAAGUGGCCUCCUGUUAGCUCUGAUGACGUUUUUACGUUUAGAUCAGGAGGCUUUAAGAACAUUACCUCUGUUGAUUGCAUUGUCCUGACUGCCAAGAAGAGAUACCUUUAGAAUCAGUAAAUUAUUACUUCAUGUUCCCUCUUGUUCUUAGUAGGUUAAAUUCUUUAUGUAGUCAUAUAUAAAACCUACAUAUGAUACUAAUUUCUUCUUUUUUUUCCUCAAGACAUCUAUCAGAUCUGACACAGAAUGAGUAUUAUAUACCUAGUGUUAAUUCAGACUUUCCUAACAUAAUAUCAGCUCUGAUUAGAAUUGUUGGUAAAGGAAGUUGUAUCUUGCAGUCAAUUCUCAUCUACAACCUAGGGGUUCCAAUAAAGGUCUUUUUAGUUCACUCUUUUUGAUGAAGGAUUGGAUCAUAAGGAGUUAAAGUAGUUUAGGAAUUGAAAGAGAAAAAUGUUCCUGGCAGGAAAGGCUUACAGCUAAAUAAUGAGCACCAAGGUUGAGGCUGCUCUUUCCAGCCUUGCUGCCAGAGCCGAGUUACUCACAGCUGCCAAUCAGCUAAUCUGAAAAGAAUUUGUUCUUUACUGAAUCUCUCCUUUAUUACUCCCACCCCACUGGUCUGGUGUACAUUGCCUCCAGCUAUGAGGGUUUAGAAAUAGUUCCUACACAGACAGCAAAUGCUGGGCUGUGAAUCCAAGGGCAGUGGACACUGGAGAGAAAGGACUUGUGUUCACCCCCAUUUCCUUUUCACAUUUAGCCUUUGCUACUGCAGCACUGAAAAGCCCCAGCUGUUGCAAAAGGAGAAAUUGCCUGUCAGUUUCUGAAAAUUCAGUGCUGAACUGUUACUGAGGACUCAGGGUGCAGCAAUGGUGACAGGACUCUGUGAUAUGAUGGGAGAAAAAAUAUUUUCUUGCUAAAGGAAAUAAAUUUAAACAAAAAGGAACACAGCCCUGCUGCCUAACUUGAAUACUAUUGCAUGUGAGGCAAGGGGAUUGAUGUGACUUACAGUUGGAAACAAAGAGCCCUACAGAUGAAGCUGACAUCCACAUUCUACAGUUAUCCUUUCAUUGACAUUUUGAAUGUCCUUAUGAUUGCUUGCUAUGCCAGCAUCCAAUACAAGACUCUACUCACAUGCACAAGGGCAAUGCCUGCAGAUAUGAAAAUAGAUAUAGGUAUAAAUAAUUGGAGAUGUAUCUUACUACCAAGUAAGGAAGAGUGUCCUAGAAAUUUUGAUUAAUACACCUGGGUACAUUUCAGCCCUUUCGUAUAUUCAUGAAGCACCGGUUAAGAAUGUUGGAAUUUAUGGAGGUCUACUGGGGAGUAAUUAUCACUCGAUACAUUAGCAGUGAAAAAAAUCAGAGCUUGUUGCCAGCUUUCCUCCCUUCCAAAGCAAAGCUUGACUCUCCCAGCCUGAGUCAGAGGGUCUUUGUUCAUUUCCUGCACUGAUUCACCAAACUGCAAUGCAGGAAUGAUUUUUCACUUGUAGAUGUUUCCAUCCUGUGGAAAACACAGAUAUAAGUGUUCUUUCUUCUGUCUAAAAGGGAAACGGCUACCCAUUACAUUGUACCUACCCAGAGGACUUUUAGGUAGCACACACAUAAGUAGGUGAGAUGGUGGAGAUUGGUUUUUACCUGGUUUGCCUUUUCCUCCUGGUCCUUGAGCCAAGUACACAGAUAUGUUCAGAUUAUGCUGCAGGCUAAGGUAGGUGAUCACUAUGGCUAACUUGCACAUACUUCACAGUAGCCUGAUGGCAUGCUGAUGCUUGCUUAUCAGUCCUGCCAUUGAUGCAACUGAAUAACAGGCUCAGGACCUCACCUUCAACAGAUAGCAACCUUUGCACUGCUGCCUUUAUCCUACUGCAUUUACUUCAAACUCAUGCCUCCUUUGCCUUGAGAUCACAGAUCUUCUUCCAGAUAUCCCACUAGCCUACAUUCCACUCCACAUCAUACUCUUUCUGCUGGACUGAGGGAAGAGUGCAAGCCUCUGGCAAUCAGUAUACAGCAGAACACAAUCAUACACAUGCAAACCUCAUUCUGAAGUCGACCAAGACAUAGCACAGCCUGGACAACUGAUGCAUUCACUACUGCGGUCAGAGAUACUUCAUUGUUAUCUAACACACAUCGUUUUCCCCUUCUGAAAGUGUAUGCAUCCCCGCUACCUUGGCAUGUAUACAAUGGCAGUUAAAUGCUGUUUUGUAACACACGAACUAUACCAAUGAUGAUGGGUAUGCGCUUAUGUGUGCCUAGAAAUCAUGUUAGAGAGGCUGAGAGGGAGAAGGAGAAUGAAGGGAGGGAGAGUGAGUAAGUGCCUGAGAGCAAGAAUGAGCUACACAAAAAAAGAAAAAGAAAAUCCAGAGGACUCACUGCAAUGCAGUUUUACAUACAGACCUGUAGGAGCAAACGGAAUGUUAUUAGACCAUAAAAGCACAUCAGACUGAUUUAUGGUUUCUGAUCAAGGUUUCUGUGAAAAUUACUCUGCAUCACCAGCUCAAGGUGACUGCUACCAUUAAUGUGUGGAAAAUAAAUGAGAUAGGGAGGCCGAUAGCAGAGGAAGAAAAGAAGCAUGAGGUGGUUUAUACAGCACAGGUUUCCCAUUUUGUUUUACAGUGCAGAGAAGCCUGUCAUCAAAAUGAUUGCUGUGGGGCAGGAAAGGCAAUUCGUGGUAAUUAGAUCUUAUGGCAUGUAGCUGGUGCUUUCUUACAUCCAGUGUGUUGGGAUAUUAGGAUGGACGCCUGCUUUCUGCAUACCAGCUUUUCUGUUCUCUGCUCAUAUACAGAUAUAGUAGCUUAGAUUUAGAGGAAAAUGUAAUAUAAUGCUGUUUCCCUGACUCUAUUUCUUUUUAAUCAUGUUCACUCCACCUUGGCUGUUUUGUUACUCUCUUUGCUGCUAAAGAGAAUUCCUCUCUUCCAAACAAAUAAGCUUUCACAUUUGAGACGUUCCAAGGGAACUGAUAUCCAAAACUAUUUUGCAUAUCAUCUUGUUGUCACAAACAAUUCUCCUGGCAUUUCUCUUCUUGACUGUUGAAAUUCCAACAUGGAAACACUUCAUAGACGAGAAGCUAUGCUGUGUGUUUAGAUGUGAGGAAAGGGCAUAUAUCACAAGAUUUUCAAACACAGCUUCUGCAAAAGAUGAAAGCUGUCAGAUUGCAGAUGCCAAACCCUCUUCUUGAUUACACUGAGCAUGUCCACAUGGAUCUAGAGUCAGGCAGUGUGGUCUGCUGCUGGAUUUUCACUGUAAAUGCCGGUAGAGAAUCUGGCAUUUUGAAAUACUUGAGCUGAGACUGAGUAUAUUGAAAGAUUUUCCAAUCCUUUGUCUGCAUCUCUCUCCCUGGCUCUUAAAACUUUCUCUGGUGCCUUUGUGUAGUGAUCCACAUCUGGAUUACAUGGUGUCUGCUCCCAUAGCAGGCUUCUUCUGCUAUGGAGAGAGCCUAAAAUAAUAAGAAAACAACAACAACCAAACAUCAACAACAGCAAAAAGAACAAUGCUCCCAGUAAAACCCACAGAACAGAGAGCACUCAAUACCUACAACCAAGAAAGAAUGAAAGAAUGCGACCUGUGCUACUCUUAUGCUGUACUCUUUAUUGUUUUUGUUGUUUGCUUUAUUAACUUGUAAGAAGCAGCAUACAAACAAUUGGAUUUCUCUAUGAUAUUUUACACACAGUUUUCAUGCAUCUUCUUUCCCUACAUGCCUCUCUUGCUGCCUCCCCUUCUAACUGCCCAUCCUUACAUUACAGAAAGGAUGGAUAGCGUUUGAUCUCCAUGUGUAUAUGUGUAUAUAUGCUCUCUCUCUCUCUCUCUCUCUCUCUCUCUCUCUCUCUCUCUCUCUCUCUCUCUCUCCUUCCUUUUCCUCUCCCUCUCCUCUCUCUGUCUGUCUCUGUCUGUCUUCCUCCUUCCCUCUUUUCUCCCCUCACACACAUUCUGGAAUAUCGUUUAAAGCAGAUACUUCUAUUCCAUGGGUCAAGUCUAUUUGAGAAGCUCAAAUGUAGUCAAUAUCUUGCCCCAAAUAUAUAGAUAGCAAGCUUAAUUUGGGAAAAGGAUCCCAGAAUCUACACGACAGCUACAUUCUUAAGAUCUCAUAUUAGUUUGUAUAUUCAGUGCAAUGCUUAGAGAUGACAAGACAAUGAGAUGAGAACUCAAAAAAUCAGGUUGUCCAACACAGACAGCACCAUGUACCACCCAUACAUACUCUUUGUCCAGGUGUAAAACCACAGUUUAAAAAUGAAGUUAUUGAGGCUGUAGUUAAGAAUGCUUAGUAUUCUUUAAGAAGUCCUAAGUUCAGGUUUCCACAACCCAUAUAGGCAGCCCCAAACCACCUGCAAGUCUAGCUCCUUGUCAGCACUAUUUUAUCUUUAUAAAGUCUUCCUUUAGAACCACACACAUUCUUCAGGGAUACAUACCCAGUUACUAUCAACACUCUGCUAACAAGAAAAUGAAUGCAUUUCCUAGUUAAUGUGUCUCUCUUACAGCACACACGUCCAUUCACCCAGGCUCUAUGUUACAAAGAAAAUUUUAAGCAAGGAGACAAACCAGAAAUCUUCUAUGAAUCCUGAAAUGACUACUUCGUUUCAGGAUUAAAAUUUAGUUCUGGGCAUAGAGAGAUGGUUCAGUGGGCAAAUACAUGUGUUACAUAGGCAUGGGGACCUGAAUCAUCCUUAUCCAAGGAUGUUCAACCUUGAUGGAAAAUGUAAGUAUAGCCAAAUCUACCAGUAACCCAUGUUGGUGGGAUGAGGGAAGACUGGAAGAUCUCCCAGGCUUGUUGGUCAGCCAGCCUAGAUAAAAAUGAUAAGUUCUGGGUUUAUUGACAGAUGCUUCCUGAAAAAAUGUGGAAUAGUGUAACAGGAAUCCCAACUUCUCCUUCAGUCUCUGCGAGUGUUAAUGGGUGUGGACCAUCUCCCACACACCUAUAUAAACAUACAGACAUAUGUUAUACCCACACAUACAGAAAUUUACUAUCUAUGAAGAUGACCAUCAGGUUCUUUGUAGAGCAGAGGGAUAUCUGGGAGUCCCAGAGGAAUGAUUACCAAAGAGGGACUUUCUCAGAGAAAGGACAGGAGGCUAGUGCUGCACAGAUAGACAGGAUGUAAAAAACAUCUAGUGCUGUCUUGUGGGGAAGGUCACCCUUCUGCCACCCAACUUCAUUUAAGUUAGUACAAUAUUUACUAUUUACGAUCUGCUAGAGUUAUGCUAAGCUUCAAAAGAUUGUUUAGUUGAUCCUCUGAAAGAUCCAUUAGCUUGAAAAAAAACAGUUGAGGAUUUGGACUUCUACCCCCAUGAGAAAGGGUAAAUGUUGGGGAAAGCCUGUUUGUCGCUUUCAACAAUGACUGUUUCACUUAGAAAAUGCGUAGUUGGCUCAUUACCAUUUUUCUUCAUCUACUAAACAACCAGAAAAUAAAAUCCUCAGUCUGUGCCCUUGAUGGUCCUGCUAGAGUUUCUUGGAUUGCAAUGGCCUACCUCAGCUAGAAAGCUGGUUGGUCACAGUAGCUGCACUGGGCUUGGUGGGGAGUGUUCAGUUCCAGGUACUACUGGCAUUCUUUCCUUCUCCAGUUCCAUCUUCCCAGAGAAAGCCUCAAAUUCUCUAACUCCCCUUUCUUCCCUUCUUCCUAGGGCAUAAUUAUUCAAGAAACAAAACAAAUGCAGGAGCCACAGUCAAAGCAAGAAUUCCAACUUUGAGUCACUGAAAAAGUUUGCCUUCAGGGUCUAACUACCCCCGCAAUGGGGCAAAUGACUGCUCACAGAUGUUGAAAUGAUUUCCUGAUCAUUUUUGUGCAGUGAUCAGAUGUUCUGACAUGGGCCAGGUAUACUGAGGAUCACUCUGGGUGAGUUAGAAUGGAUCACAUUUGCACAUAAUACACACUGGAUGGUUGACACCCCCAAACUGCCCUGCUGUUAUAGAUUGUUGUAAGACCAUUAGAACAAACUCUCCCUCCCUCUCUCUGUCUUCCCCUACCCCGUGUGUGUGUGUGUGUGUGUGUGUGUGUGUGUGUGUGUGUGUGUGUGUAAAUUAUUACUGGAUGACUGCAACCCAAACACACAAUCGGGAUGCAGAGUGGAAAGGUUCUGGACAAGUGAGUCCUCAUCUACUUUAGAAAGAGCCCAAGCUUGCACUAUGACUUCUUAGAAGGCACAGAUCCUGUUCAGGACUUCUCCAUUUUCAUAAACUAAAUCCCAUUGAUAUGUACCAUCCCUAAACACAAUUAUACUGGAGAUUCUAUUUCAAUGUAUGCAUUUUGAUGUGGACACAACUAUACAGGUCAUAAUAGUCAUGAAUCCUCCUUGUGUGAGAGGGCUACAGCAGAUGCCUAUUGACAUGCAUGUGUGCAUUUUAGAGAAAACAGUGAGUCAAAGAAAGAGUAGCAAAGAGUGGAGGCCACCAUCCUUUCCACAAUAAUAGCAGCCAUCAAAUCUCCCCUUUCCUCAGACAACAAACAGUAAACAAUGUAAAUCUCCAUUCCUCAUAAUGUGCAGACCAGGCAUUCUCUCUCUUCAUCAAAAUCCUGCCUUGUUUUGAAUCCAGAAAAUAUUCAUCAGUACCAUGUUAUAUUCUUCCCUCUCUAAGGAAACACAUACUGGUAGGUCUGUUUAAAUUUAGGGCAGUGGAUAGAAACAAUUUUUCUCUCAGCCCUUGUAGCCUACACCCCCACUGCUUAUAUAAUGGUCUCUGUUUUGUCAGUUUUGCUACAAAAGUACCUGGCAAUUUUUUUAAGUACUGUAAUUUAAAAUUUUUCCAUUUAUUCUAGAAGACAUCAUCUAGUAGCCAAUCAGACAAAAGAAACAAAAAGAAUGACAAAACUCUUUAAUAUGCAGAUAAGAACCAUUCCAAGUUUUAUAUGAUAAAUGAAUUUAACACAAGGAAGAUUUCAUUUUCUUUGUGUUCUUUGCAAAGUUUAGUAAACCUUCACAAAAAACUCUCCUAGUCAUUCAUUUCUCAUGUACACUAAAAGAAACAAAAACCCACUCCAAUGUACCCUUUAUCAUAUUGUAAGAAAACAAUAAUACUGUGACCAUUUUGAGGCCAUUAUCAUAUUGUGACAGGUCACCAGUGGCAAGACUGGUUUGAUUUACCUUUUACCUCCUUCCUUGACCACUGUGUUUAAGUUCAGAAUUAAAUAUUCUUUUCUCCAAGAAGGAGAAAAUGUACUUUUGAUUGAUUAACUCUUAGCAUAGCGGUUCAACAAGAUUCACUGAUUGCAAACGAUCUUGGGGAACAGUGGGGUUUGUUGGAAAAGCAAAAAAGAAGGCAUCUGGUACUUUGUAAGUAUUCUUGACAAAAGCAGAUAAAGGUUCUAAAACAGAGAUGAGUAAGAGCAAAGGCAGGGUGAGUUAUCCUGAAAAUCAGACAGUAUUGUACCACCCUGGACUACAGGGGAUAUCAGAAACUCACUGAAAGUUACUUGGGAGCCCAUUCCCUAUGGAGGGCUACUAAUUCAGCCCAGAUACAAGCAGCUGGGUCUAGGCCCUCCCCCAAAUGAUGUGACAGACUUUGAUGAUCUCCCAUGGAAGGCCUCACCAUCCUUGGAGAGGGAUAGGGGUUGGUAAGGGGCAUGGGAGGAUAGGAGUGAGAGGGAAUGGGGGGAUUGAUAUGUAAAAUAAGACUAUCUCUAAAUUUAAAAAAAGGAGGGGAAAGGAUACUCUUGGAGCACAUAGAAGAUCUCUAGCAGCUCAACCAGGGUGUAGAUGGUCAGAUACUUGAUGCUCCCAGACAUGGUGCUGGUUGCUCAUUCAGUUUUUUCAUGGAGAGAUUUUUCCUUUCUUUUCCUUUCAAAUAGCAAUUCUCCCAAGACUUUUCAGCUAGAAUGAUGCUUUCCAGGUAUAGGAAUAUGCUACUUCUGUAGUUGAGCUAUCCUUUAGGAAUUUCCACCCUUACCACACAUUCCACUAAUCAGACCAUGUGAAGCCUGGGACAAAAAUCGAUGGGGUUGGAAUGGGUAACAGAUAGAACCACUUCUGAAAACCAUUGCAACUUGGGUGCAUGUUCUUCUCUUCAGGAACAGUUUCUUACAAUCCCUCACUAAUCCACCCAGUUUGUCAGGGUGUCAGACCUGGCAGAAGUUAGAGAAGCAGGAGCAUACACUGCUCUGGAAUGCCUCUUCUGCACAUCUCUGUUGGAACCGUAGGAGGAGGAGGUUGAAUCCCAUGCAAUUUCAACUGCUGAACCACUCAGCUUACUAAAAUAAUACCUUUUUGUGGUGCAAUAUAAUAGAUUAUUGGAGGGUAUUGUGUGUCAGACAAUGAAAGCUAAAAAUUUUAUACCAGAGAUUCUAAGAAGAGUUAUUUUGAUGGAGAAAAGACCCAAGCAACUGAUCAUGGAGCUGUGUUUCUUCAGCAAACACACUGGUUUCCAUAUUAACUGUACAUUUUGAAUGCUCUUCUCUCUGGUCCCUCCCCAGCCUUAGUUUCAAUGGCUUUUAACCUUGUCUUCUUUCUAGUCAGUUUUAUAGCACACAUGAUUAAAUAAAAGUAGGUUUCACCUUCAGGGCUUUCCUCCUUUCUUCCCUCCCUCUCUUCCUACCUCCCUCCCUUCUACCUUCCUUUCUUCUUUGAAAUAAUACUUUAUUUCUACUUUCAUCCUUUAUCAGGUGUGUGUGUGUGUGUGUGUGUGUGUGUGUGUGUGUGUGUGUGUGUGUGUGUGUGUGUAUCUGUGUUGCUAAAGAAAAAACAAAAAAACCUCAGUGCUUUGUCCAUUCAAGUUAACCACACAGCAAAAAUUAAACUUCAUACCCAGUACCUUGUUUUCUGUUCCAUAUGUCUGUUGUACCAAGAUAAUUAGCCACAUCAAAAUAAUGAAACAUUUGAUUUUUAAAAUAUUUUUAAAUUUAAAAGUAAUUAAAAUUAUUUUAAAAACAAAAUAACUUGGGUACCCAUGUUAAUAUGUUAUUAAGCUUCCAAUCUUCCUUCAUAUUCCUUCAAGCUUAAAAUAUUUUUUCAUCAUUAGGAAAAUACUUCCCAUAGGAAACUAGGCCCUUCAUAGGCAGGAGACAAUUGUGAAGCUUGGUUUAUCUGAAGGGACCCUGGCAGUAGGACCAGGGGCUAUCCCUGGUGAAUGAGCUAGCUUGUUGACACCCAUUCCCUAUGAGGGGUUGCCAUACUCAGCCUUCAUGCGUGGGAGACGGGCUUAGUCCUGCCCCAACUUAAUGUGCCAGAAUUUGUCUACUCCCCAUGGGAGUACUUACCUGUUGGGAGGAGUAGGUGAGGGGGUGUAGCGGGGGGGGGAGGUAAUGGGGGGGAGGAGGGAUGGGAGGGAGAACUUUGGUUUGGUUGAAUUGUAAAAUAAAAUUUAAAAACUUAAAUUUAAUAAAAAAUAAAAGAAAUGCAAAGUGAAUGACAUGUAGGUCGUUGGAAAUGGAAGGUAAUCAGUACUGUGCCCCUCCUGGCUUAGGGAGAAAGGUGUUGCAUUUGCAAAGUACUCCAGCUUUUUAUUUGGUCUGGAAAGGCUAUGGUCAAUGUUAAAUGGAAAAAUCAUUUGGACUAGCGAAAUAAUGCAAAGACUGAUAAUCCUUUAUUUCUCUCCUUUAAAACCCUGGAUGAUUCCUUAUUGCCUUUAAUAGUCAAUAAAAUCCACACCGUCCCUGAACUUUCUAGGCUUCUCUUCAGUGGCUCCCAUAGUAAUCCAUCCAACCUAAAAACAUUGCCACACUUUUCCACUUCUUGGUUUCAGUUUCUAAAAUGCUCUCCUACCUGUUUAAACUACUGUCUGCUAUUUAAGCAUGGGCUUGAUGUCACCUCCUAUUAAGGCAAUUCUGAAUCAGGUAAACAGAAGGAGCUACAAGCUCUUUAGCACUGUCUAUUUCUUAUAUUAUCUGCUGAAAAACAAGCACUAACUGACUACCUAUCUAUAUGCAACACUAAUAAAAAAUACAGUUUUGUUCUCUGCCUUACACUCUGGAUUUUUGUACUCUUCAAGUUCCUUCUGCAAAACUAUACACAUUAUUUUUUGGAUAGGCCAUGAAUUAACUCAUUAAUCCUGUGUGGAAAGUACUACAGUGCCUUAUUCAAAGCAGGGCUCCCUAAGACUUUUCUAAUUUAUUAAAUUACCUCAUUAUAUAAUUGAAUUGUAUAGAUUAAUACUUGACUACUGCCACCAGUCAUGCCAAAGUACUUUAUAAAGGUGGUAAAUAAAUUUUUAUUGAUGCCUGUAUGCAAAGCCCCAAGACCCCACGGGCCUUGUUUUGAUCUGUCAGUAUUCCCUCUUGCCAAUAUUUUUGAGGAUCUCUAACUGACAACAUGUAUUUACAAAUCUGUUCCAACCACCAUGGAAGUAACUAUUUCCAGAUAUGGGCAGCAUGAUCUAGGCAUCUCAGGCCCAACAAGUAACCAUUACAGCUACAAUGUUCUUUUUUUUGUUGCCGCUGAUAUAAUAUAACCAGAGAUCAGAGAGAUCAAAGGUUACAUUAAUAUUUUGUGCCAAGAGAAGAAUUCUGUUCACCUCACUAUGCUUAAUUUAAGUUGGGGUUGACUGCAAGACUGAAAGUGAGUUCUUUAAUUAGGUCACAAAAUUGCAAACCGUAUGCCAGUAACUUCCACUCGCUACCUCAACUAAUAAAGACAGCAUUUUGCAGUCGGUGCUGUGUAAGUUUCACAGUUAUGACAGGUUCCAGUCCCUGAGCCUGUAAGAUAUAAAGAUGUACUGGUUGGUCAUGGUAUCCACUAGACCACUGAAAUGUAGUAUACUUACCUGGGCAAAACAUUAUGGUUAGGAUUACUCUUCUACAUUCCUUCAGAAUGUAUCUCCAGAAAAGAUGAAUAAGCACAAUUUCUUUCUUUCAACUUAUAUGUAUAUGACAAAGUCAUCUUCCACUUAUAAUCUCCGUGUUGUCUAGGAUGGAUGAAUUUGGGCAUUGGCCAAUUAUCUUCUUACUUUCUCUCCUCAGCUUAUCAGCUGGUUUCUUUUUUCAUUUUUAAUUAUUUUUAAUUACUCAUGUUUACAUAUCCAUCUCCCCCAUUCUCUCACCCUCCCAUCCUCCCAUGUUCCCCAACCAACACACCCCACCCUACUACACACCCCGAAUCCUCCCCAGGGAUAGUGAGGCCCUCCACCAAGGACAUUCAAAGUCUGUGUUAUUGUUUGGGGGAGGAUCUAGACCCUCCUUGCUGUGUCUGGGCUGCAAUUGUAUCCCUCCAUAGGGAAUGGGCUCCCAAUGUCUAUUUGUGCCCUAGGGAUAAAGACUGGCUCCACUGUUAGAGGAACCAUAGACUCUCUUGGGCUCCUAGCUGGUACCCACAUUCAGAGGGUUUGGUUUGGUCCAAUGCUGUUUCCCCAGCUUUAUGACAGUAGGUCAGGUCCAAUAUUUCUGUAGGUUUCGUCAUCACCGUCUUGGCUAGUUUGCUCAACAAUCCUCCCUCUCCACAACCGAAUUCCAGUAGUAUUGUUCAGUGCCUAGCUAUGGUUGUCUGUUUUUGCUUCAAACAGCAACUGGAUGAAGCCUCUCCUUCCUCUCCCUGCCCACGGGCUCCAGUUUGGUCAGGGGUUCUUGUCCCCAUCCCCUUUUUCAAGAGCCUAUGCAAUCUUCUCUUGGGGUCCUCCUUGUUUCCUAGCUCCUCUGGCAAUGUGGAAUGUAGGCUUGUGAUACUUUGCUCUAUGUCUAAAAAUCAAAAAUGAGUGAGUACAUACCAUGUUUAUCUUUUAGUGAUUUGGGUUACCUCACUGAGGAUGGUUUCUUCUACUUCUAUCCAUUUGCCUGCGAAUUUCAAGAUUCCAUUGUUUUUUUGGUUGUUGUUUUCCCCCACAGAGUGGGGAAAUUGUGUAAAUAUACCACAUUUUCUCUAUCCAUUCGUUAGUUGAGGGACAUCUAGGUUGUUUCCAGGUUCUGGCUAUUACAAUAAUGCUGCUAUGAACAUAGUUGAACAUAUGUCCUUAUUGUAUGAGUGUGCAUUCUUUGGGUGUAUGUUGAGCACUUUCUCAAGUGUUUUUCAGCCAUUUUGGAUUCCUUUGUUGAGAAUUCUCUAUUUCUGUACUCUUAUCUUUUCAUUGCAUUGUUUAGUGUUUUGGUGGCUAGCUUCUUGAGUUCAUUGUAUAUUUUGGUGAUCAGCCCUCUGUCAGAUGUGGGGUUGGUGAAUAAUUUUUCCCAUUCUGUAGGCUGGCAUUUCGUCUUGCUGACUGUGUCCUUUGCUUUACAGAAGCUUCUUGGUUUCAGGAGGUCCUAUUUAUUAAUUGUCAAUCUCAAUAUUUGAACUAGUGCUGUUAUGUUCAGAAAAUGGUCUCCUGUACUAAUUUGUUCAUGGGUACCACCUACCUUCUCUUCUAGGAGGUUCAGUGUGGCUGAAUUUACGUUGAGCUCUUUGAUCCAUUUGGACUUAAGUUUAGUUCUGACGAUAGAUAUGGGUCACUCUGCAAUCUUCUAUAUGUCUGAAUCCAGUUAUGCCAGCACCAUUUGUUGAAGAUGUUUUCUUUUUUCCACUGUACAAAUUUAGGUUGUUUGUCAAAAAUCAGGUGUUCAUAAGGUAUAUGGGUUAAUAUAAGGGUUUUCAAUUUGAUUCCAUUGUUCAACCUGCCUACUUUUGUACCAAUGCCAAGCUGUUUUCAGGACUAUAGCUCUAUAAUAGAGCUUGAAUUCAGGGAUAGUGAUGCCUCUGGAAGUUCUGCUAUUGUAUAGGGCUUUUUUGGCUAUCCUGGGUUUUUUGUUUUUCACAUGAAGUUGAGUACUGUUCUUUCAAGGUCUGUGAAGAAUUGUGUUGGGAUUUUGGUGGGAAUUGCAUUAAUCUGUAGAUUGCUUUUGGCAAGAUUGCCAUUUUUAGUAUGUUGAUUCUAGCUAUCCAGGAGCAUGGGAGAUCUUUCCAUUUUCUGGUAUAUUCUUUAAUUUCUUUCUUUAAAGACUCAUAGUUCUUACUAUAUGAAAUACAGUCAAAAUAAGUAUAUUAUAUCCUCUGCCAAUUUUAAGAUAUGUUCUGUUGCCUUCUAUUGAUUGGACUAUUCUCUUCAUUGUUCCUGUUCCUUUGCCUGAUUUGUAGAGUUUGAAUGGGUGGUGGUUAUUGUGAGAUUUCUGUUAGUAGUUUAUGGAUGAUGAGAAUUAUCAUUCUGGCUGGCAUAAACAGUUAGUCUCCUCUCUGGGCAUUCUGCACUGUUGUUUAUGGUAUUUUAUCAAAACUCAGGUGGUGUACUGAUAGACAAGUAUUUACUAGACCCAACUGAUAUGACUCUGAGCUUAUCUAGUUAACUUAUAACUAACUAAGUAUAAUAAUAAUUACUAUUUCACAUUCUUUGUGCUAUGUAAGGAUGUUAGAAAACUUUUGUUUAUGGUAUUUCAUAAUAACUAAUAACUUACAUAGUCAGGAUAAAUGGCUCAGUGGCUACUCAUUCCUUUCCACAUCACUUACAAACACAAAUGCCUGUUGGGACACAACAUCUCAUAGAAUAAAAUAAUAGUGUUUUGCCUGACCACCAAAAGUGUUCAAGUCUAUACUCACUCACUAAAUGGACCUUUGUGGUUCUAAUGGAGGCUUGUUCUGGAUAAGCAAAUAGGACCCCUUAGAGACAUUUUAUCAUCAAAGAAAAUAGCUGAUGGGGGAUGUGGUGGGGCACCCUGAGUACAGACACACCUCAUCCUUGUCCACCCUCUGCCCUCUGCCUUCUGCCCUCCACCUGCCACCUGAGUGAGUCUGGGAGCUGCUCUACCCCCAACCUCCCCAUCACCCCCUGAUUGCUUCUGCCUGAGCCGUCCCCGCAACAAUAGUGCAGUGGAACUUCCCAGACCGGAAGGCCCACCCUGAGUCCGGAUACACCUAACCCUUGUCCACCCACUGCCCUCUUCCCUCCAGCUGCCACCUGAGUCUGCUGCCUGAGCCUUCCACUUGCCACCUGAGAGAGGGAGAGACCCCACCUGCACCCACUGGAAGAAGGGAUGGGAAGAUGACAGUAUAAGAACACACUCAACAACAGAAAGACCAAUAUGACACCACCAGAAUCUAGGGACUCUACACAAGCAAGAACUGAAAAGCCCAAUGCAGAAGAUGAAAAAGAGACUGACCUUAAAAAUUAUCUUAUGAAGAUGAUACAGACUAUUAAAGAGGAAAAAAAGAAAAUCCCUUAAAGAAAUAGAAGAAAAAACAAGCAAAAACUUACAUGAAAUGGAGGAAAAGACAAAUCAAAAAUUCAAGAAAUAAACAAAUCCCUUAAAGAAUCUAAAGAAAACCAAGAAAAAACAACCAAACAAGUGAAGGAAACAAUUCAAACAGUUCACGGUUUGAAAGCACAAUUAGAAACAUUAAAGAAAACACAGAAUGAGGGGAUGCUGGAAAUAGAAAAGCUGGGUAAACAGAUGAAAGCAUAACCAAUAGAAUACAAGAUAUAGAAGAGAGAAUCUCAGGUGUUGAAGACUCACUAGAGGAUAUACAGACCAAAGAAAAUCUCAAGUCCAACAAAUCCCUAACACAAAAUAUCCAGGAAAUAUGGGACACCAUGAAAAGACCAAACCUAAGAAUAAUAGGUAUAGAAGAAGGUGAAGAAAUUCAGCACAACGGUACAGAUUCAACAAAAUCAUAGAAGAAAACUUCCCUAACCUACAGAAAGAUAUGUCUAUGAAAGUACAAGAAGCUUACAGAACACCAAAUAGAUUGGACGACAAAAGGAAGUCCCCUCACCACAUAAUAAUCAAAACACCAAACGUACAGAAUAAAAAAAAAAUAUUAAGAGCAGCAAAAGAAAAAGGCCAAGUAACAUACAAAGGCAAACCUAUCUGAAUUACACCCGACUUGUCAAUGGAAACUUUGAAAGCCAGAAGAUUAUGGAUAGAUGUUCUACAAACUCUAAGGGAACAUGGAUGUCAUCCCAGACUACUUUAUCCAGCAAAGCAUUCAAUCACUAUAGAUGGAAAACCAAGAUAUUCCAUGACAAAACCAGAUUUAAGCAACACAUGUCCACAAAUCCAGCCCUACAGAAAUUAAUGGAAGGAAAACUCCAACGUAAUAAAUAUAACUACACUCAAAAAAACCACGGGAAAUCCCACUUUACCAAAAAAAAAAAAGUGGGGAAAUACACACACAAUAACGCCACCACCAACAAAUCCAAAACAAAAAAGAAUCAACAAUCAAUGGUCAUUAAUAUCCCUCAAUGUCAAUGAUCUUAACUUGCCUAUAAAAAGAUACAGGCUAACAGAAUGGAUAUGAAGACAGAAUCCAUUCUUCCAUUGCAUACAAGAAACACAUCUCAGCUUCAAAGACAGACACAUAAUACUCCAAAAUAAUAACAAAUUAACUAAAGAAUUAUCAAUAUCUGACUCUAGGUAAAAGUUACUGUAUUUGGAAACUGCUUACUUAAUAUGAUUGGACAAAUAAAAAAUGAAAUUUGUGACUUUAUACAUAAUUACAAAUAUAAAGUACAUUAGUUUUUAAUGUAUGACCAGAAAUGCAGGAAAUAAUAGGGUAACAUAACAUUCAUCCCCAGGAGAAGUGUGUUAGAUAUUAUGAAGGCAAAGAUAAAAGGGUCACAGUUUGGAGGACUGUGGCAACAAAAAAUAAGGUUCCUUGUAGAAAGCAUCAAUGUGAUCUCCUUUCCAGUCUGGGUAUUGAGUAGCAGAGCCAGGCUUUCGAAUUUCAUCUUUAUGCUUUAUACAGAAAAAACAUUGUGUGCAUUUCCCUAUAGGAACACAGAGUUAAGCAAUGUGAAGACAUUCCCUAAAUGGGGCAGGGCCAUGCCUCUGGGUUUGCAACUGAAAUGCAGACAGGUUUUAGUAGUUCAUCAUAGUAAACAAUGGCUCUGUACCCCCCCUCCCCAGCCCCCCAGUAGAUAUCCAGCCUCCUGGAGACCUAAGAAGAGAUAAUGAACUAUCCAUUUUAAUGGAUUAAAAUGGGAGCAAGGGUCUUCUCUUUUCAUUUGUGGAUACAAUCAGCAAGAUUUCAAUGGCAGAUGUAUAUUCUAAUGGUUUGGGUUUUUAGAGUUGGUGAAAUAUAUUUCUGCACUAAAAUAAACAUGUGAGCAUCAUAAUGGAAAUGUAGAAAUCAUAAAUAGCAAAGCUAAUGCCAGCACAGCAUCAUGCAAAAGAUCAGCAAAGAAGCAGGACUGGGUGUUGAAAAUAAAAUAAGUUCUGAAGAGACACACUGAAUAUAGGCAUCUUUUGUUUUGUUUUUUAAAGCCACUGUAACAAACGAUGAUAAUAGCAACCUCAGCAGACCUUUCAAAGUUGGGCACCUCAAAGAAGUGAUUCUGUCUUCUCUAGAGAAAAUAAAAGUAAAACGAAAGCAGAGUAUUUAUUUCCCUUUUUAAUGCAGCAGGCUUCCUUAUAGAAAAUAAGCCUAACCACCCUCUCCUUGAGAGAACCACUGAUGCUGCUGGGAAAUGAGUCUUACUGUUAUCCAGCGGAUGGAUUCACGAAGUGUCAAACCAUGUCUGACAAAUCUGCCCCAGCCUUCAAACUGCAAAGCACUGAGCCCUUUUCCUCCAUAAGAUUUUGAAAGUAAUAAUUCAUGGAAAGGGUUCACCUCAGCCUGUACUGACAUUCGCGAGGCAGGCAAGAAAGUGGUGGACCCCAAAAGCAGCAUUAGGAGUGAGACGCAGAAUGUCACCUGCUGGACAAUUUGUUUUAUUCAGCAACUCUUGUCUUGUCAAUAAUUUAUAUUUCAAAUAUUUUUUUUGUCAAACAACAAAAGGAGACCACAAACCUAAGAACAAGUGUAUCGUUAUAAAGGAGCAUGUGGAAUCAGAGAGCAAGGCCUAGGAAGGCUGUGUCUUCAAGGGGCUCAAUCAAUGAAGGAUAGGGAGAGGAAUGUUUAAUUGUUAAAGUGUUUGUGAUGGACAUGUAAAAGCAGAAUAGACCUUUAUCAACCAGAGAGAAGUUAGAUUUAACAGCACUUGAAACCAGAGGGGUGAGUUCAAUGGCGUCAGUAGGGCUCUAACUGCAACCUUGAGAAAGCAGCCCAGUCUCCUUGUCUUGUUUAUCUCACUCAUGAAAUGUCUUAACACUAAUUCCUUUUCUUCACAGAUUUUUUGGUACAUUUAGGUCAGGUAAUUCACCUUGUGUGUGAAUAAGCAAUGGAGUUAUUAUUACAGUUACUUCCAGAGCAAUGAACUUUUAAUGACUGGCAAAAGAAAAUCACACCAAAUCUUUGAAAAGUGUUUUCUGUUAACUCUGGGACUGAGAGUGAAGGGUUUCCUUCUUUGGAUUUUUCUGCAUAUUCCCAACUUCCUAUAAUAAGCAUAUGUUAUUUUAUAAUCAGUAAAACAUCAGCAUUUAAGACAUAUUUUAAAUUUAAAUUUAUUGAAUGAAUUAUUUGGCAGGAUAACAAAUGUUAAUACAACUUGCAUAAUGAAGUGGCUUUUGAAUGUACAAAUCUGUGAUUAUGUUGAACACUGAAAUUGUGUCAAACAUGUCUGGGUCACAUGUAGAAAUAGAAAAGCCUGCUCUUGGGUCUUGAUAAAUUAGCUUGUGAAUAAGUGUGUCCUGUGAUGCUCACUCUCCCAACUAAAAAUGCCCAAGUGAAGAGCUGUAUAGACAGACUGUGGAAAACUGCCUGGAGACUCUUCAGCAAAGGCUCAAGGACUGUGAAUACAAACACAAUUCAAACCACUGCCAUAUUCAGCAAGCCUUCACUGAUUGUUUACUGUAUCCUAUGCAUUUUCUGGGUGCUGUGACUGUAAGUUUGGACAAAUGACACAUGCAGUUUUAAAUGUUAUUGUUAACUAUAUGUCUCUGUUUCUUUUUCCUCUCACAAGGAAAGAUUAAAGGAGACAACACCAUAAACCAUGUCCAGUAUCAAGGGCAGAAAACCGUGCCUCACUGAGUUUUCCAUUUGCAUGUGACACAUAAUAUUGUUGUGAUUCUAAAUCCUUCUAAAUAAAGACACAACUUUAUUUUUACUUUUUAUACUUUUUUGGCUUCCCAAUGGUAAGAAUUGUGCAUCCUUUUAUUUUGUGCAUAUGUUUGGUUCUUCCCUUUUCUUUCUUUUGAUUCCACUCUAGAAACUGUCUUUGUGAACAGGGCUUCCAUUAGCAAAUACUACAACUUUGUUCAGCUGCUAGAAUGGUGCUCCUCUGAGGUGAUAGAGUAAAACCAGCUGUGUUUUCUAAGUCACUAAAGCAUUUCACAAAUUAUACUUACAAAUAGGCAUGAUCUGUGUAGCUGAAGCAACCUGUAGGGAACAUGUUUUCAAUGUUUCAAGGAGCUCCUUCCUACAUGACAGAACCCUAUAACCACAGUAUCACCACAGUCUCCAGAGACCACAGAGGCAAGCAAUGGCCAAACCUCAGGUCCUACUUUAUAUUGUAGUAACAGCAAUGCAGUGGCAGAGUUUGAAGAACUAUACAAUACAGGUUCUUUAUUUCCAUUUGUUUUGGUUUUUUUCUUCCUAUUUGUUCUGAUUUGUCCCAAGACCUUUUAAUGCUCAAGUAGUUUAGAUGUUAUGCUUUAAAUGUAUUCUGCUUUUUAUCUUAAACAGUGCAUUCAAUGAACACAUCUAGUGUCACAGGUUUAUAUUAGGACUAUGCAGACAGAGUGUCUACAACUGAGUCCUAUGAAUUACUCCUGUCUCCCAGCUAUCUCAACUGAAGUCAGAAAGGUGACACACCCAAUGAGAACCUAAUCCCCUUUCUGCAGCAAUACGUUCCUCCAAUUGUUCUGAUUGUUGCCCACUAAGCCUUGAAGUUACUUAGCAUUCCUUCUCUCUUUCAUACCCCACAUCCAUAGGCAUUCUCACUGGUUAUCACCUAAACAGUGAAAGAACUCAACAAUGUCUCAUCAUUUCUGCCAGCCACAUGCUGCCCAUAUCACCACCUGUUCCAAUUGCUUCCUCACUCUUGACUCACCCUCUGUUAUAGGUCCCUUUCAGUCUGACUACCCCAUGAGUCAGCAGCUUCUUUAUAAAUGGGCCUACUGAAAUCUCACAGUGAUAGUCCACAGAGUGCAGAGAAAAAGCCAGUGUCUCACACAAGUUCCCCCAAUGCAUCCAUUGUGUCACGGUUCUUAUUUCACCGCGUCACCUUCUCCCAACACACUGGAAUACUCAAACACACACACACACACACACACACACACACACACACACACACACACACACACACACAGAAAGAGAGAGAGAGACAUACACACACACAGAGAAAGAGAGAGAAGGGGGAAAAAGAGAGAAAGAAAGAAGGAGGAGGGAGG
ensembl:lncRNA